rnacentral:rRNA from 1 species
ACUCAAAUGAAUUGACGGGGACCCGCACAAGCGGUGGAUGAUGUGGUUUAAUUCGAUGCUACGCGAUGAACCUUACCGAGGCUUGACAUCCUAGGAACCCUUGAGAAAUCAGGGGGUGCCUUCGGGAGCCUAGUGACAGGUGCUGCAUGGCCGUCGUCAGCUCGUGUCGUGAGAUGUUGGGUUAAGUCCCGCAACGAGCGCAACCCUUGUCGUCUGUUGGAUAUAUCAGGCGAGACUGCCCGGGCCAACCGGGAGGAAGGUGGGGAUGACGUCAGGUCAGCAUGGCCCUUACGCCUCGGGCUACACACGUCAUACAAUGGCCGGUACAACGCGUUGCGAACCCGCGAGGGGGAGCUAAUCGCACCAAAACCGGUCCCAGUUCGGAUUGCAGGCUGCAACUCGCCUGCAUGAAGUCGGAAUCGCUAGUAAACGUGGGUCAGCAUACCACGUUGAAUACGUUCCCGGGUCUUGCACACACCGCCCGU